rnacentral:rRNA from 1 species
UAGGGAAUAUUGGACAAUGGGCGCAAGCCUGAUCCAGCCAUGCCGCGUGAGUGAAGAAGGCCUUCGGGUUGUAAAGCUCUUUUGUCCGGAAAGAAAAACCUUGGGUUAAUACCCUGAGGUUCUGACGGUACCGGAAGAAUAAGCACCGGCUAACUUCGUGCCAGCAGCCGCGGUAAUACGAAGGGUGCAAGCGUUACUCGGAAUUACUGGGCGUAAAGCGUGCGUAGGUGGUUUGUUAAGUCUGAUGUGAAAGCCCUGGGCUCAACCUGGGAAUUGCAUUGGAUACUGGCAGGCUAGAGUGCGGUAGAGGGUAGUGGAAUUCCCGGUGUAGCAGUGAAAUGCGUAGAGAUCGGGAGGAACAUCUGUGGCGAAGGCGACUACCUGGACCAGCACUGACACUGAGGCACGAAAGCGUGGGGAGCAAACAGG